GAGAGCGGUGGCCUUAGCCGGUACGUCCUGCAGCAGCGCGAGGAGCUACAGCAGGUCGAGAUCAACAUACGCCCACCCAUAGAUCAUCUAGGUGCUGCCAUGUCUUGGGAGGCUGCCAACGAGCAUCUUGUAGCAGCUGAAAAGCUCAAGGUUCAGAGCAUCAUACAGGUGUGCAUGCCCGCGCCGUGGAUCUGGAGGCUGUUGGGGAAGCCCACUCGCUGCUGCAGUGGUAGGGGUAGGAUCUGUUGAGGAAGGGAGAAGGAAAAGCCAUCCGUGGACUGCAACGGGACGGGGCACUAAACGGAAGUAGUGACCAUCUCUUCGACUCCAUGUGUUUGGUUGUGCUAUUCCUGCGAGAUGUCAGGGGCUGCCUGAUCAUCCUAGCCAUGGAUAGCGGUGUCGACUCCAUGUGUUUGAGUGAGUUUCUAGUUCUCCAUUCUCUCCUCUACAUGCCCAGGGAGGCAUGGUUACCGCUGCAUGCACAUAUGCUAUGUUAUUGGUCAUGAGCUGUUUCUAUUUGGGCAAAAAUACUUGCUCCCUGUUUUAUAUGUCAAGAGUCCAGAAACUCUCAUCUCUUAUGUUCUUUUUGGUUCUUCUGCUAAUGGAUGUUAGUGAUGUAGCGAUGUGGUGUUUCAUUUCCUGUUUGGUACCAGUGCCAUGUACGUCUUUGCUCCUAGUGACGUCCUGGAAGUUUCAGGUUGCUGCAAUGUCGUGCCUGAACAUAGUUUGGUAUCUAGCUGUGUGUUCUGUAGUGUUUUUUCAGGUUGAGGUCCUUUUGGUAUGGCAAGUUGCUGGCCAUUUUUCCAGUGAAUUUUGAUGCAAUAGUAGCGAAUUUCCUCUGAAGUUAGUGACUCUUAACUUUAAAAAAUGCUUCAGCCAUUUAACUCUACUUAUCUGGAAAUUUGGUGUGAUAUAUUCAUUCAUUCAAAUUUAUCGGCUGUCCUCUUCUUGUGUUGGUUACAAAUUUUAUAUCCUUUGACAAAAUUAUGUCUUUUGAAUGGUCAAAUACUAGUACCACUGCAUUUAUAGGCAGCAGUAGCACAACAUGUAUCAAUCUGUACAUAUUCUACUACUAUGACAAGUUACAUUCAAGAUAUUAAUUCAGCUAUUCAAGUUUUGUUUCAACAUCUCAUUGCUUCUCUUUCUUUCCUAGAAGUUGUCUCUUUCCUCAGGUGAUUCUUAGUCACUACUUGGCUUCAAGAAUACCAAGCAUGGGAAACUAUUCAAAUGGUCUCUUCUUUAUCGCCGAGGUUUAGGUAAGAUGUUGGGUUUCUCUUUUUCCCCCUCUAUGAGGUAUGUGAUAUUGUGGAUGUAUUGGCAUUGGCAUGCUUGUUAGAAGUUCUUAUGCUAGUAUUUAUGGCAAGACAUUGUCAUUGAUUCAUUUAUGCUGAAGGUUCAUCUUAAUUUUGUUCCAUUCUUCUUGAUCUUAUUAUUGGAAACUGGUCAUGUAGUGUUUGACACUUUACAUUCCAUUUAUCUCUACUCUUAGGUGGUAGUAGAGAUUAAGUAGCCACAGGUAGGUAGUGAGUCUGAUGAUCACACCUAGUUCAUUUGUAGAUGCAUCUGAUAAGGAUUGUAUUGGUAUUAUCUGCCUGCAUGGAUUCUCCGAUGAGAGAACUAAUUGCAUGCAUAUCUUGCUUUCGUUCAUGUGACACCCUUAUGGCUUACUUUAGUAUUGUUCAAAUAGGUGCACUUCUUUAUUUCUUUAUAGAUUUUAAAUCUAAAGAAUUGUUUUCGGAGGUAAAAUUUAUUGUUGUGUUGUUCCCCUACUACAUCUAUGUUGCUAUUGAUGUUGUUUUUAGCUCUUAUAUUUUGUGGCGACUGACUUCCACUUCACAUUUAUAGUGGCUAUGUAGACUGGAUUAUCGAGUUACUAGAUGUUUCACGUGAGCUGUCUUGAUUUGGUGAUAGAUCGUUGAAUCACAAUUCUUCUGAAGAAUAUUGUAUCAGUUAAUCAAAGGAUAUAUAAUUUUUAGAAGUUAAGAUAAUGUCAUGCUUGGACUUGGAUUGGAUUUUUUUAAUC